rnacentral:rRNA from 1 species
GAUGAACGCUGGCGGCGUGCUUAACACAUGCAAGUCGAACGGUGAAGCAGAGCUUGCUCUGUGGAUCAGUGGCGAACGGGUGAGUAACACGUGAGCAACCUGCCCCUGACUCUGGGAUAAGCGCUGGAAACGGCGUCUAAAACUGGAUAUGAGCUGCGACCGCAUGGUCAGCAGUUGGAAAGAUUUUUCGGUCUGGGAUGGGCUCACGGCCUAUCAGCUUGUUGGUGAGGUAAUGGCUCACCAAGGCGUCGACGGGUAGCCGGCCUGAGAGGGUGACCGGCCACACUGGGACUGAGACACGGCCCAGACUCCUACGGGAGGCAGCAGUGGGGAAUAUUGCACAAUGGGCGAAAGCCUGAUGCAGCAACGCCGCGUGAGGGAUGACGGCCUUCGGGUUGUAAACCUCUUUUAGCAGGGAAGAAGCGAAAGUGACGGUACCUGCAGAAAAAGCGCCGGCUAACUACGUG